rnacentral:sRNA from 1 species
AGUGCGUCCUGGGAUUGCGCCGUGUCAGUGCGCAGAGGGCCCUGGGCUCCGCUGUACGGCCGUGUCCCUGUAGUUCCCCCACUCCUAGUGGCCAUGGAGGCAUUUUCCCACCUGUGGCCAUCACUUCGUGGGGAGUGGGUCUCACAAGCGUGCAUAUUUGUCAGGCUCUCUGCUUCCAUUUGGGGAGGCCGUGCCCUGGGGUCAUUGUGACUAAGAAGCAGUUGAGGGUGGUGCUGCGGGCACUUCUCUGGGGUAUACCCAGUGUCUGGAUGUGUUGAUUCAUUGAAAGGUAAAAGCCUUGGUGCUGGUUUUGGAAAGUUGUGCUUUAAUCCCAGGAUUCAGCUGGGGAAGACCGUGCAUUACCUGCCCAUCCUGUUCAUCGACCAGCUCAGCAACCGCGUGAAGGACCUGAUGGUCAUAAACCGCUCCACCACCGAGCUGCCCCUCACCGUGUCCUACGACAAGGUCUCGCUGGGGCGGCUGCGCUUCUGGAUCCACAUGCAGGACGCCGUGUACUCCCUGCAGCAGUUUGGGUUUUCAGAGAAAGAUGCUGAUGAG